rnacentral:rRNA from 1 species
ACGGAAGGCAGCAGUAGGGAAUCUUCGGCAAUGGACGAAAGUCUGACCGAGCAACGCCGCGUGAGUGAAGAAGGUUUUCGGAUCGUAAAACUCUGUUGUUAGAGAAGAACGUUGUGUAGAGUGGAAAAUUACACAAGUGACGGUAUCUAACCAGAAAGGGACGGCUAACUACGUGCCAGCAGCCGCGGUAAUACGUAGGUCCCGAGCGUUGUCCGGAUUUAUUGGGCGUAAAGCGAGCGCAGGUGGUUUAAUAAGUCUGAUGUAAAAGGCAGUGGCUCAACCAUUGUGUGCAUUGGAAACUGUUAGACUUGAGUGCAGUAGAGGAGAGUGGAAUUCCAUGUGUAGCGGUGAAAUGCGUAGAUAUAUGGAGGAACACCGGUGGCGAAAGCGGCUCUCUGGACUGUAACUGACACUGAGGCUCGAAAGCGUGGGUAGCAAACAGGAUUAGAUACCCUGGUA